rnacentral:rRNA from 1 species
AUUGAACGCUGGCGGCAUGCCUAACACAUGCAAGUCGAGCGAGCGGCGGACGGGUGAGGAAUGUAUGGGGACUGCCCGAUAGCGGGCGAUAACUACUGGAAACGGUAGCUAAUACCGCAUACUAUCGGAUAACCCAGAUGGGAUUAGCUAGUAGGGGAGGUAAUGGCUCACCUAGGCGACGAUCCCUAGCUGGUCUGAGAGGAUGAUCAGCCACACUGGGACGUAGAAACGGCCCAGACUCCUACGGAGGCAGCAGUGGGGAAUAUUGCACGAUGGGCGAAAGCCUGAUGCAGCCAUGCCGCGUGUAUGAAGAAGGCCCUAGGGUUGGAAAGGACUUUCAGUCGGGAGGCGUUGCCGACAGAAGAAGCACCGGCUAACUCCGUGCCAGCAGCCGCGGUAAUAC